rnacentral:rRNA from 1 species
AGAGUUUGAUCAUGGCUCAGGACGAACGCUGGCGGCGUGCUUAACACAUGCAAGUCAAGGGGGCCCAGCAAUGGGCAACCGGCGAACGGGUGCGUAACACGUGAGCAACCUACCGAACUGUGGGGGAUAGCCGGCCUAACGGCCGGGUAAUACCGCAUACGCUUUCGAUGAGGCAUUUCAUUGAAAGGAAACCUACGGGACAGAUCGAGGGGCUCGCGGCCUAUCAGCUAGUUGGCGAGGUAAUGGCUCACCAAGGCUACGACGGGUAGCUGGUCUGAGAGGAUGGCCAGCCACAUUGGGACUGAGAUACGGCCCAGACUCCUACGGGAGGCAGCAGUGGGGAAUCUUGCGCAAUGGCCUAACGGCUGACGCAGCGACGCCGCGUGUGGGAUGAAGCUCUUCGGAGUGUAAACCACUGUUGCCCGGGACGAAUAGCUCGAUUAAUCGAGCCUGACGGUACCGGGUGAGGAAGCACCGGCUAACUCCGUGCCAGCAGCCGCGGUAAUACGGGGGGUGCGAGCGUUGUCCGGAAUCACUGGGCGUAAAGGGCGCGUAGGUGGUUUGAUAAGGGUGUGGUGAAAGUCCGGGGCUCAACCCCGGAUCUGCCGUGCCGACUGUCAAACUCGAGGGCUGUAGAGGCAGACGGAAUUCCGGGUGUAGCGGUGGAAUGCGUAGAGAUCCGGAGGAAGACCGGUGGCGAAGGCGGUCUGCUGGGCAGUUUCUGACACUGAUGCGCGACAGCGUGGGGAGCAAACAGGAUUAGAUACCCCCGUAGUCC